UCUACAACAGUGUUUUUUGUGAUUUUUCUAUACAACUAUUAAAAAUAUAAAGUUCUGAACAAGUUAGAGAAAGAUUAUCAAAAUAUCCCAAUUUUGACCUAUUUUUGUCCUAUAUGCCCGACACAUUACAAAUAAUUAUGGGUGGCAGCCAAGGGGUUAACGAUAAACUCCAGUCUCAAUUCAUUUUAAACAAGAGUGCUCUGAGAGCACAAUAUUCCCCGCUAGCAACUAUAUCUAUGCUAUAAGUGCUUAAUACUCCCUCAUGAAAUUGUCCAAGCACAAGUUUGGUAAUCAAGGGCCAUAACUGUGGUAAAACGCGACUGAAUUGAAUGAAAUUGCAAUAUGUGUAUUACCGACAUAUAAGAAAGAAUCUUGUCAAGUUCCGUGAAAUUCCUCCAAAAAUUGUGAGAGGAGUUGAUUUCAGAAGGCGAGUACCCUUCCCAGGACGGACGAGCAAACAUCGCCACGACGACAUCCACCUUCGGACCUUUCGGCCAGCGGGGGAUUAAUAAAUGACUUCUUGGCAAGUGAAAAUGUCUAACAUUGUUGAAUGUAUCAUCAAGUAUUUCCUGUCAAAUCCAAGAUAAUUAAAUGCACUUCAACAUUUUUGUUAAUAUCAAGCAAGAUAAGAGGCAAACAUGAAGCAUUUAUUUCGAGCAAAGAGCAAAAUUAUCUGCCAAUAGAAUAAGGCAAUGUAAAACCUGAAAUUAGUAAAAACAUUGAAAAACAGGCUGAAUAAUUUGAUUAGAUUUACAAUAAUAACCUCAGAGCAAGUCCAUUAACACCUUAUUUCCAGUGACAGCAUUUAGCAGCCCGUCUUUUACAAUGCUACUUACAAAAGUCUGUGUUGAAAAACAAAAACAUUUACUCGCACUCAUACAAAUAAAAGCCUGUUUGAUAGCUGUGUCGACUUAAUGCUUGUUUAAGUGCUCUCGUCUGACAUGAUGAGUGACGCUGUAGUAGGCGAUCAUCUCUAUAAUACAAAACACGGCGAAUUAACUCCGGAGAAUAGCCCGAUUUCCCAAAAGUACUCCAUUACGAAAACUAGAGAACAUCCAGAGUAAUACUCCUUCCACCAUGUUUCGUGAUGUAAGACGUUUAAAAGACAAAGGUGGAUAAUAUUCGUUAAAGUGACGUGGUUAUGAGAUAAUGGAUGUGUCAGUGGUGUGAGUGUACUGGUGUGAUUAGCUGGGAAAUUCUGUGUGUUUGUUCUACUGGACCUCUUUAGAAGGUUUUCGUAACACGUCCCCGACUCCACCGCCACUACGGAGGCCGUGGCUGAGUACGGUCACGAUGCACAUGAGUAAAGAGUCGCACGUUCGCUCCUUAUCCUCCACCACCACUGCUGCCACAGCUAGGGCAAAAAACACACACAUGUAUGUAUGUGACAUGUGAAAACACAUGCAUACCAAGUGGUCUUACACGUGCAACACACUCAUGCGUUCCUAAUAGACACAUGCACAUAAACACACCAUGAGCCACGAUCACCCUUCCGUUCUAUAAAGGCACACUGUGGGAAAAAAUCGUUACUUCUAUUCUGAAACAGUGACACAAACUUGUGAUUAUGACCUGCUUCCACAACUAAUGAACAACCUUUUUAGUGCCUUAGGUAUUAUUUGGAUACAACAUGUUUAUUUACAUUUUCAAGGCAGGGUUUCAGUAGGUCUGGCAGCUUAGGUGUUAAGAGAAAUGUCCAAAAAAAAAAAAAAGGAGGCAAUUAGAAUAAAUCUAAUUAGGCUUGAGAAGACGCUCACGUGAGAUCCACGUGGUGCAGCACCGGUUCACACGAAUCAGACCACAUGAUCACACACAAUACGCCUGAGACGUAUUGGCCUGAUUUAUGGAGCCAGCUCAAUUUUAAUCCGAUAACCUGCUCAUUAAAUGUCAUGCCUCAAGUCCUAAUAUUCUGCAGCACAAUUAACCUUUGACCCCUCAUCUCCGACAGCUCCUGUCUUCCAAGACACUGUUUGUGGAAUACGCCUGAAUGAGUUCACGAAUACAUCUUGUGAAGUGAGUGCACUUACAUUCCACUGUGGCCUCGACUGAACAGUUCUCUCCGCCGCCUUCUUUCUGACAAACCCCACCGGAUAGGAACUCACUCAUCAUCGUGGCGGUUUGCUCUGUUCAGUUGGAGAAACCGUGAAGGAUUAAUGAAGUACGCUGAAACAAGCCAUCUUCAGUCAACAAAAUACACAUGCAGAUCAUGCGAGUUGGUGCCCAAAUAGCCUUCAUCAAUUUUUUUUUUUUUUUUAAAGUAAGAGAGAAACUUCUCAAAGUAAAUGGAUCAAUCUUAUAUUAGAAAGCAUAUAGACCCCUUCGCAGUAAACGUCAUUCAUACGUAAGCGGAAAUUGCGCGCGCAGCCUGGACCCAAAAAAGACUCAGAAAUGCCUAGUUGUUGUGUUGUCGGGUGUCAGAAUCGUAGCAGUGAUGGGGUUAAAAUGUACAGAAUUCCAGCAGGAUCUCACCCAUUCCAAAAAAAUCGCCGACGUCUAUGGCUACAAGCCAUCAAACGUGUAGACUGGGAUGAAAGCACCAUCAAAAAUGCGUGGGUUUGCAGCGCCCACUUCAUCACAGGAGAGGUCUCGCUUGACUCAAGCAGUCCAGAUUUUGUGCCAUCAUUAUUUGUGGAUGCCGAAAAUCACAAUUUUAAAGCAAGGAUGGAAAGCAGGCUGUAGAAGAAGACAUGAACAAAGACCCCUAGGAUGCAAAUGAUGAGGUAGAGGAGGUGGUACAGGAACUCCACAUCCAUGAUCAUGGCCUUAUAACCUCGUGUGAACGUCCCUCGAUUUCCCACAAAACUCAUCAGGAAGAUCACCUUAUUGCACACCUUCGAUAAGCACACGCGCACAAAAAAAAAGUGGACAGUGAGCAAAAACCAGACAAUUUAUUUAAAGUAAACAAAUUAUAUGAUCCUGUGUCUUCUAAAAAUGUAGGUAAAGGCUUUAAAUUAUCAUCUAAGAAAGGCUGCAGGGAUCAGAUAACAUUUCAUACAAUACCUUUAGCGUGAAAAAAAGCUGUUUUCAUUACACCCCAGUUACUAAUAUAACAUGCAUUACUGUGUUGUGAGUUAGAAAUUUAUAGUGAGUUUUAGUAACGUGCAGACAAAUACAAUAUGUACUACAGUGUAAGACCAGCAUAUAUUAAGCUGUGACAAGCAAAUAACCAGGGGGGGAAACCCACAACCUUCCAGACUAAACUGUUUAUAUUCCACCUCACUGCAGCUGGUCAUUAACUGCACUGCUUAAAUCACUUUCGCUACAGGAUCAGUUACACUAAAGAGUUUGGAGGGGAGGGGGAUAGUUAGAGAAGCCAGCCACUGAUUUAGGGCUGAGAUGCGGGUGGCAACAUUUUUUUUUCAUGAAAUUGUCAAAAAAACCAACAACUCUGAAACAGCAUAAUUUAUUAUGAAGAUCCAUAAACCCAUUACAUAAACCCAAUACAGCCACCACAUGGAUGCGAAGAAUGAACUGUACACAUCAUUAUCAAAAGAUAAGAGCAAUUCAUAGUGAGUUCUUUGAGAUGCCUGCUCACUUGGGCAGAUAUUCUCACAAAAAUGUGACAUUAUGACUCAUUUCUACAAUACACGGCAUGCAUCAAUACACAGGUUUGCUAAUAAGCUGCCAGCAAAACAGUAGUGUUUCUUUAUUUAAAAAAAAAAAAAAUUCAAUUAUUUAUGCAACAUCGUCAAAAUAUAUGUGUAUUCUCUAUUUUUUUUUUUUUACAUCAAUUUCAGUGUUAAUUUUAAAAAUGAAAAGGAGAAAAUAAAAUGAAACUGUAAAAGCGAGCAUUUUACAGUUUUAAAGAUUAAAGGCAGAGUAGGUGAUUUUGGAGAAACAGCAAGAGUAAGCUUGAGUUUGAAAGUUUCCAAACAAAAACCCCACCUCCUGUCUUCAGCCCUCCUUCCAAAGCCACUCCUCCAAAAACACAUGAACGCGCACUACCCGAUUACUGCUGAAGGAUGAGUCCACGAGAGAGAGAGAGCAGUGUGUCAUCAUUCAAUGAAUAAAAUCCACCCCCCCCAAAAAAAACAAUCAAAUCAGAUUGUCGCCACUGUUGAAAAGCCACACCAAUAUUCACUCUGGUUUGACCUCUUGCUUUUAUAUAAAACGAAAAAUAAUUGAUGCAAGUUUCCUUCUCACUUUAUGUCAUGUCAUGUCCACAGGUCAGAUCAUGUACACAAGCAACACUUAACAGUUGUCACCAUAUAAUUACAUACCAUCCACGAUUGAAACUGUCCUCUACUCAGUCUUGUUGAAAGGUUGAAGGUCAUCCCAACUUGGGGAUCAGAAUUAUUUCCCAAGUUCUCAUUUGAAAUUACGAGACGCUCAUGUGCAAGUUGCAAACUCGUAUUUACCAGAAUUAUGAGAGCACGUGAAGGCAGCAUUCAUCCAACAACUUUUUUUUUUUUUUGGUCAUAGCUUACUAAGAUUACUGAAUAGCUUCAUCCACCAGGCUGUCAGGAUGCUGAACUCUGUCCGCGACCUACCCCCUACCCCUGGUCUGUAACACAUUCAUUCACACAAGAAACUCUCUCUCAACCAUUUGCACAUCACACUACAGUCAUUUGCAUUACUGCUGGAUCUGCUGCUAUUGCUCAUUUGCACUACUCUUCAUAUUCACCUCAUAAGCUGCUCUUGAAAGCACCUUCUCCGUUACAGACAUCGUACUGCAUUUGCAC